CAGUAACGAUUCGGCCACCGACGCCCGUCGCUCUCUCGCUACGAACCCGAGCUUGGAAGCGCUACCCAUGGAGAUCAAUUCAGGGAGGCUGCCCUUUGAUUUGCCCUUCCACCCUGCCUCCCCUCUCGUGGCGGACGGCGGUCUUCACCUGUGAGUUCCGAUCCUGGCCACGAUUCUAACUCUGUCAUGUGGACGAAGCUAUGACCUAAUAUCUGUCGAAACCCGCGCUGACAGGUACCGCUACGCCGCCGAAUCGCAGCCUCAAAGGGUUGGGAUAUCCGGAAAGGUUGGUAACCAUUCUACCAAAUAGGAUAAUUAAACCACUUGCAGAGCAUUCAGAAUACCCAAUCGAGCUCAUUGCUUUCUCUAAUGAUAGAAAAUUUCUUGGCAGUAUUUCACAUGAUCAAAUGUUCAAGGUGAGGUCGUCGCACAGCAUUUAACACUAUCGACAUCAAGUGCAGCGGACUCGUAGUCUGUGGCAAGACUCCAGUUAGCAUUAAAGUCCUUUUGCUCUGAACAUCCAAAAGACGCAUUUUAGAACAAAAGGAGAUUUUUCUUUUGUUUUUAAUCCAUUUGUUGCUCCAAUCCAUUAUUCUUGUCCAAGAGGGUGUAAUUUAUGAGAAACAGCACAGCACAACAUUGUCAUAUGCCCAAUGCCUGCCUGAAGGCAUAUGUUCUAAUGACAGUAUGCCAGUAUUUGUCUCAAA